rnacentral:rRNA from 1 species
GACGAACGCUGGCGGCGUGCUUAACACAUGCAAGUCGAGCGGAAAGGCCCUUCGGGGUACUCGAGCGGCGAACGGGUGAGUAACACGUGAGUAACCUGCCCCAGACUUUGGGAUAACCCUCGGAAACGGGGGCUAAUACCGGAUACGACACAGCUUCGCAUGGGGUCUGUGUGGAAAGUUUUUCGGUUUGGGAUGGGCGCGCGGCCUAGCAGCUUGUUGGUGGGGUUAUGGCCUACCAAGGCGACGACGGGUAGCCGGCCUGAGAGGGCGACCGGCCACACUGGGACUGAGAAGCGGCCCAGACUCCUACGGGAGGCAGCAGUGGGGAAUAUUGCACAAUGGGCGGAAGCCUGAUGCAGCGACGCCGCGUGAGGGAUGACGGCCUUCGGGUUGUAAACCUCUUUCAGCAAGGACGAAGCGUAAGUGACGGUACCUGCAGAAGAAGCGCCGGCCAACUACGUG